rnacentral:rRNA from 1 species
CGUAACUCGGUGCCAGGAGCGUAGGUAAUACGUAGGGCGCAAGCGUUGUCCGGAAUUAGUGUGCGGAUAUAGCUCGUAGGCGGUCUGGCACGUCGGCUGGGAAAGCCCCGGGCUUAACCCCGGGCGUGCGGUGGAUACAGGCAGACUAGAGGCAUGUAGGGGAGAAUGGAAGUCCCGGUGUAGCGGUGAAAUGCGCAGAUAUCGGGAGGAACACCGGUGGCGAAGGCGGUUCUCUGGGCCUGACCUGACGCUGAGGAGCGAAAGCGUGGGGAGCGAACAGGAUUAGAUACUCUUGUAGUC